rnacentral:rRNA from 1 species
UACGAAGGGGACUAGCGUUGUUCGGAUUUACUGGGCGUAAAGCGCGCGUAGGCGGAUCGCUAAGUCAGGGGUGAAAUCCCAGGGCUCAACCCUGGAACUGCCUUUGAUACUGACGGUCUGGAGAUCGGGAGAGGUUGGUGGAAUUCCGAGUGUAGAGGUGAAAUUCGUAGAUAUUCGGAAGAACACCAGUGGCGAAGGCGACUUACUGGACACAUAUUGACGCUGAGGUGCGAAAGCGUGGGGAGCAAACAGG